UUUGCAAAGCAGACGAUGAAAGCAUUGCAGCAGUCAAUUCUUCUUUGUUUAAAAUAAUGUAGUCUAAUAAUUAUUUUUGUUGCCGUUUUUUUUUAGGAAAAUGGCAUCCAGAAAUUGCUUGAUGCGGUUGAAAACUUUUCAGCUUAGUAGUUUCAACCCACCCAACGGGAUUGCCUUUUCUAGAGGUUUUUGCGCAAGUCCCCCAGUAUUCCAGACCAAAUGGCUGCAAGCCGUUUCGCACGCCGAGAAAGUGGUAGGAAAUCAUACCUUUCUCAAUCUGGAAAGUGUGACAAGCCAUGAGAUAAGUAAUAUGGCUGUUUACUUGAAAAAUCUCAUUAAAACUGGACAUCCCCUUACAUCCACUGUCAAAGAACUCCUCAAUCCUAAGGCCAAAAAUGAUCUCACCAGAGGGUUGUUGGUUUUGCUUGUAUCCAAGGCAGGAAAACAUAGGGCAAAUGAAGACAUUCUGCCGAAUCAAAGACAACUUGCAGAGAUCACAGAACAGAUCCAUACAGCUCACAUUAUCCACUCAGGAAUUAUAAAUCUUCCCACUCCGAACGAAAAUCUAGAAAUGGGGAAUAAAAUGGCAAUUCUGUGUGGUGAUUUUAUUCAGUCCCGCUCUAGUAUCCGCUUAGCAGAAUUCAAAAACAUCAAGAUUAUAGAGUUAUUUGGCCAAGCUAUAGCAGACUUUAGUGCCGUUGAAUUUAUUGAUGGGGAGUCAUACAGUGCCCUAGAUUUGUGGUCUCAGCAAACGAGGAUGAGAUAUGGAACUUUAUUAUCAAAUGCCUUCCAGUCGACCCUGAUUCUUGGUGGCAAUAUGGAUCUCCUUGAAUCCGCAACAAAUUUCGGUCUCGAAUUUACUUUUGCUUGGCAAGCAAACAUUGACCUACAAAGCUACAAGAGCACAACGAAGAAAGCGGAGCACAUUCUGACCAAGCUGUUUCCACCAGGAACUCCCUUCGAAGAAAUCUUAUUAAUUUUUGAAGCUGUACGCGACAACCACAUCAAUGCAUCAUUGAAUAUAUUGGCAAAGUUUCCACAAAAUGAAGCUAGUCUUGCUCUAAGUGACAUCGCAAAGGCACUCAAGUACUAACCGAAUUUUAAAGAAAUAGCCGCAUCUGAUAUCGAAUUUGGAAAACAGCUGCCAUUACAAAUGUGAACCUGUUCGAUUUUAUUUAUUACAAAUCUCAUUUCAUAUAAUUGUUUAUCGGGAUAAAUUGACAAAAAUUCUAAAUAUUUUGCUUGCUUUGAUGUUUUUUUAUCCAUCCUGUUUCACUCACAAAAGCGAAUGGUUCAAAGGAACCGCCAACGUCAAGUAAACCUACGACUGUCGUCAUCUGGUGCCAGUAAUAGGAAGUUGCUUGUUGUGUCAACAACAUCGGCAACAAUAACACCUUCGUUUGCGAAAAUAUUGGGGUCAAAAUCUAGCCCCUGCUUUCUCUGAAAAGGCUGGAUUGGACGGGAGCCAUUACUUUCACUUUCCCUGUUGAUAACAGGACUUCGCGAUAAAAUGGGGGUAAUUAAACGCUCAAAGUUCCAACACAUUUCGCCUUUGGAGACUGGACCAGUUUUGCCAGAAAGUGAUUCUGUACCUGAGUUAGCCCCACCACAAAAUGUUCCUGCUACUGAGACUCUUACCCAACAAACUCUUCAACAGCUUCGACCAAUAAGGGCUUCCAGACCUCCUUGUUUCCAUAAAAAUUCAUCAGGAAAGAAUCGCUCUAGCCGCAAGUCAGAUAAUGGACAGGAGAAAAUUCCCAAAGGGCAAAAGAAACAAAGACGUUAUCAUAACAACAAGUUCUUACUCAAUUUGGCUGAAUCUGAUGAAGACAAAAGAAUUGAACCUGGAUUUACUGAACCUCACUCAGUAUUUGCUACCUUGCUACAGGAACCUGACAAAAUGGGGGCUUGGAAUGCAUUCUUAAACCUCACUGAAGAUGAUCAGCUCGCUAUUAUUGCCAAUAAUGAAAUAUUUGCUUAUUUCAACAAUGAGCCAGUAUUAGAUCAAGUGCCACCUGCUGUCGUCGAGAAAAUUGUCAGUUAUCGUGAAAGGCGCCGAAACAUGACUGCUGAAGAGGCCUUUUGCACUUUGUGCCCUAAACUGAAAUCUAUAUUCACAAAACGUCAUUUCCCUAUGGGAAUGCUAGCUCAACUGGAGAAUGAAGUCCUUGAUUUUUUCCUGGACGCCCCGGAAGGAACGUGCAUUAUCGAGAGGCAGUGCAGUUUCGAUCGACUCCUUCUUCACGCCAUCACGCGGUUCAAUUUUCUUUGUUCACAAAGUUUCUCAACUGAAGAUAAUCGCCGGGAAACUCACAUCCGCAAUAUUUGUCCGGAUUUCAUCCCACCACCCGUUUCUCUUUCCGAAUACAUCCAAAAGAAGCGUCGCUAGUCUGUUACAAGAAAAGACUUGGGCAAUCAUCGGAAAUGAAAUUUUUCAUAGAAAAAUGACCUCUUAUUUUAAAUCUUAAGUUCAAUAUGUUCCCAGUUUAGAAAUUUCCAGCAAGAUUUUCUUCUUUUUUUUUUCUUUAGGAUAAAUUUUUUUACCCAGAGAUUUGUUUAUUUCCGUAAUUUAUGCUUUUGAUGUAGCAUGUCUUUUUUUCGGUUUGGUUUGCUGUUUUAGGAUGGGGCGGUUCACUAAGCAAGGGGAGAUGCAAUUUGGUUUUCCAUUCAUAGACAUAUAGAGAAAUUGUAGAGACAUUUUUUGUUUAAUUGUUUUCAUGGUAUUUGUAUGCAAUAAUAGGAUAAAGAAGUCUCUGUUAUCAACAAAUAGAUACUUUGAAAAUA
rnacentral:misc_RNA from 1 species